UUUCUUCCUCGUUGGUGGCUUUAUGAUAGUUAACCAUGCUGCCGCACGGUAGCCAUCUUGGAACGGUAUUGAAGACAAGGAAAGAGAUGCAGGACAGAGGCCCGACUCUGUUUAUGGAUGGUUCUAUGACAGGGAUGUAACAAUGACUUGUGGUGACUGUUGUCCGUCCAGAGGCAGUAUUUGAAUCCACCCACAACGCAAUUCUAAAACAAAAAAUACACCAUCACAAUUGUUAAAAGUCCAAAACAACGAA